GAUGAACGCUGGCGGCGUGCCUAACACAUGCAAGUCGAGCGAUUCUCUUCGGAGAAGAGCGGCGGACGGGUGAGUAACGCGUGGGUAACCUGCCCUGUACACACGGAUAACAUACCGAAAGGUAUGCUAAUACGAGAUAAUAUAUGAAAGUUGCAUGACUUUUAUAUCAAAGCUUUUGCGGUACAGGAUGGACCCGCGUCUGAUUAGCUAGUUGGUAAGGUAACGGCUUACCAAGGCGACGAUCAGUAGCCGACCUGAGAGGGUGAUCGGCCACACUGGAACUGAGACACGGUCCAGACUCCUACGGGAGGCAGCAGUGGGGAAUAUUGCACAAUGGGCGAAAGCCUGAUGCAGCAACGCCGCGUGAGCGAUGAAGGCCUUCGGGUCGUAAAGCUCCGUCCUCAAGGAAGAUAAUGACGGUACUUGAGGAGGAAGCCCCGGCUAACUACGUGCCAGCAGCCGCCGUAA
rnacentral:rRNA from 1 species